UCGGCGGCUUCCUUACGGCUCAGUCCGCGGCGUGCCUCCGAGCGCUUCGUAUCGUAUAUACUGUUUUCAAAUACAACCGCUCAUAUUUACAAACUUUUCAAACCACACCGCCGUUCAUUCUCGCCCUACCGGAUCCGAACUUGACCUGUGAAUGUUUGUUGGAACUGUCAGUGUUGUGCUUCAUCGAUAUUCUAAUGUAUGAUUUCAAGGGCGCUAUUUAGUUGUCCUAUGUAUGUGCUGGCUGGAUAUUUGUAUCUUGAUGCUUAGUAAAUAUUAAAAUGUAAGUGGGCGUAUUCAAAAGUUUAAUAAUCGAUCGGGAGACGUGCGUGGGAUUCCGUUUACGUAAUCUUUGUUUACCUUGGGGAUAUGCACCGUAUCAGUUUGCUGUGAUACAUGUUAAUUCAACGUCAUUGACAUCUCUUUCAUUCAAGCCGCCGAUAGUGUAUGGAUUCCACUACAUUUUGAGCAACGAAUGUUUCAAAGAUAUUUGGAAUGACCAGCACUAAUUCAGCAUACCUACUUACGGGCCAGUCGUCCAGGGCGUGGACGUGAAAUGGCACGAGCGGGCAUGCUGCACAGGGGAAAAAAUGGAGCUGAGUGAG